GAAAACAGAAAAAUAAGUAAAAAUUUUAAACAACUUUUUAUACAUAUUUUGUACAUUAAAGUUUAAUUAAUAAACUUCGCAAUAACAACUUCGUUUCUACUGAGGUUUUAUGGAAUUUGUUGAACUACUAUCAGUGAUCAUCAUUUUAGGAAGACGACAUAACCAAUAACAACAAACAAAUAAACAAACAAAUAAG